CUCUUGUUGGCCACCAUGUAAGAUGUGCCUUUGAUCUUUCUUCACCUUCUGCCAUGAUUGUGAAGCCUCCCGGGCCAUGUAGAACUAUAUUAUGGAAUAUGAAAACACACAAAAUGUCUAUACAGUCAAGAUAACCUGUGGAAAAAUAAUGAAGACAGUGGAGGAAAGGCAAAAUGGUAAAGAAGAGAAGAGAGAGAAACAAAAUAAUCAUUUUCCAGCCUACCUAAAAUAAUAACCUGGACUUUCAUAAAACUGGCAUAUCUUCUGUUUUACAUGGAAAAUUAUUUUAUCUUAAGUUUCCAUUUAGUUGAUUAAAAAUAGGGUUAUGAAUGUUAAAUAAGUGAUGAUUUAUUGCAAAGGAAAUAUGUUUCGAAAGGUCGAAUAAUGUCUGUAACAAUAAAAGGCAAACUAAAUGAUUUUCUGUUUUCAAUCCUUUGAUGAAUAGUUAGAUUAAGUAAGACCUAUAUUAUGCUUUCUUUUUUAUUCUCAUAUCUAAAUAAUGCUUAUGACCAACUGAACUCACACUUUUCAGAUCCCUGUCCAACUUGACCUCU
rnacentral:lncRNA from 10 species